AUAGCAUUUUUCCAAAUAAAAUGUCUCACCAUCUACGGUAGCCCGAGCCUGACCAUUUAGCGCAGGACGAGCAAAGUUACCAGACGUAAAUGGAGAAGGCAUUUCCAAAGCAGCAAGACGAACAUUGGAGACUCAUUGGAUUCUUCAGCGGCAUUGGUGGCAUGAGAUACUCUCUACUGAGUGCUGGCGUCGAUGCGAAAGUAGUACAAGCUUUUGAUAUCAAGGAUAAAUCAAACGAAUUUACGAGCAUAAUUUCGGCGAUCGUCCGCAUCAGGCUAAAAGGAGGCUUUUAUCCUUUCAAAGGCAAUCAUACAAUAAUCAACUUCUUUGGCGCCCAGUCCAUUACUCGAGAAUGAUGUUGACUUAGAAAUCAUUGAGAAUCGUGUGAUAAGUUGCUGCUCUCUUGCGAGCCAAUAUGUAGGUUUCUUGAAAAAUCCAACCAUCAGAGCGUGUUUAGUUUUCCUGAUUCCAGUAGUAUUCAUAGAGAGGGUGCACUGGAGAAUACCAAGGAUGCGACGAGCACGACAAUGGAUCUUUUGAUCACUAUCUCGUCUCGUCCAGUUUGAUAGACAAAUGGGACAGUGUUAUGGGUAUGAAUGUUGUCUUCUUUGGGCUUUCCCUUUCGAGCUUUUCCUCAAGAUUUUUAAAACGCGUUUGCUAGAGGGAGUUUCCACAUUCUUAUAAAAAAUCCUUCAUUCUUCUCCCCAAUCGAUGUAGAACCUCACAGCUAUCGUAUGAUCAGUAUUGUCUCAUCACCAGAACUCACUGUUGACUAUGGAUUAGAUUCUUUAGAGAGUUUAGAUAUCGUAUGUCUUGAUUCAAGGUGAUGCUUUGUUUUACAAAAAGCGUCAACCGAUACGUGAACGGCAUUGGCUUGCUUUUGGCACCUUUUAAGGCGGAAAUGGUGGAUAAGGCUCAUUCUCUGAAAGAGGCGCGACGCUCAGAUAUUGUACUCCUCUAGAGAGGUUGCUAACUUGCAUUUCUUUCCGGAAGAUUUUCAAUUUCCACAGCAUAUUGGCCCUGGGCAACGCCAUGCAUUGCUAGGGAACAGUUUACGCAUAGCCGUUGCUGCUCCCUUGCUCCGAUACCUCUUUGCAGAGACAUCUGGAUUU